AGCUUCGGUUGGAUUGAGAGUGGCGCACGGGUGCGUAACGCGUAUGCAACCUACCUUGUACAGGGGGAUAGCCCGGAGAAAUUCGGAUUAAUAUCCCAUGGUAUCCUUUAGUGGCAUCACUUUAAGGAUUAAAGAUUUAUCGGCACAAGAUGGGCAUGCGUGACAUUAGUUAGUUGGUAGGGUAACGGCCUACCAAGACGAUGAUGUCUAGGGGUUCUGAGAGGAUGAUCCCCCACACUGGUACUGAGAUACGGACCAGACUCCUACGGGAGGCAGCAGUAGGGAAUAUUGGUCAAUGGGCGAGAGCCUGAACCAGCCAUGCCGCGUGCAGGAAGACGGCUUUCUGAGUUGUAAACUGCUUUUGUACGGGAAGAAAAAGGCCAUGCGUGGCAAAUUGCCGGUACCGUACGAAUAAGCACCGGCUAACUCCGUGCCAGCAGCCGCGGUAAUACGGAGGGUGCAAGCGUUGUCCGGAUUUAUUGGGUUUAAAGGGUGCGUAGGCGGAUCUUUAAGUCAGUGGUGAAAUCCUGCAGCUUAACUGUAGAACUGCCAUUGAAACUGGAGGUCUUGAGUAUACUAGAGGUAGGCGGAAUUUAUGGUGUAGCGGUGAAAUGCAUAGAUACCAUAAAGAACACCAAUAGCGUAGGCAGCUUACUGGAGUAUAACUGACGCUGAGGCACGAAAGCAUGGGUAGCGAACA
rnacentral:rRNA from 1 species